UGCAUGAAGUUGGAAUUAGCUAGUAAUGGCAGGUCAGCAUACUGCCGUGAAUACGUUCCCGGGCCUUGUACACACCGCCCGUCACACCAUGAGAGUUGGAGAUACCCGAAGCCUGUGAGCUAACAAACGAGGCAGCAGUCGAAGGUAGAAUCAAUGAUUGGGGUGAAGUCGUAACAAGGUAUC
rnacentral:rRNA from 1 species